CCUUUCCUCUCAACAAGCAAACGUGCACUGAAUUUAAGCGUAUACUUCGGUAAGCUUCGGCUUACGACGGGACCACCUUAUGUUAUUUCAUCAUGGUCUAAACUGAUAGCUGAACUAACUGAAUGUGCGAAAUACACAUGAAUCACAAUCGCGCGUUUCGUUUGACGUCUGGA
rnacentral:antisense_RNA from 1 species